rnacentral:lncRNA from 1 species
UUCAAACAGCACCGUUUCAAUAAUCAAUAUAAAUCUAAAAAAUAAACCCUAAACAAGGUUCAUUCAGUCAUUAAAAAAAAGAAACAAGAAGAAAAUAAACCUUAAACGACGCCCCUUUCAUCUCCGCCGCCUUGAAGGCCAAAACUCUCUUCUCUCUCAUUUUGAUUCAGACAGAGUAGAGGAUGACUCCCAUGGCAUGCAGAGGUAAGAUUCUUCUUCGCUUUUCUAUUUUAUUUC